CCUACGGGUGGCAGCAGUGAGGAAUAUUGGUCAAUGGACGAGAGUCUGAACCAGCCAAGUAGCGUGAAGGAUGACUGCCCUAUGGGUUGUAAACUUCUUUUAUAUGGGAAUAAAAUGUUCCACGUGUGGGAUUUUGUAUGUACCAUAUGAAUAAGGAUCGGCUAACUCCGUGCCAGCAGCCGCGGUAAUACGGAGGAUCCGAGCGUUAUCCGGAUUUAUUGGGUUUAAAGGGAGCGUAGGUGGAUUGUUAAGUCAGUUGUGAAAGUUUGCGGCUCAACCGUAAAAUUGCAGUUGAAACUGGCAGUCUUGAGUACAGUAGAGGUAGGCGGAAUGCGGGGUGUAGCGGUGAAAUGCUUAGAUAUCACGAAGAACUCCGAUUGCGAAGGCAGUUCACUGGACUGCAACUGACACUGAGGCUCGAAAGUGUGGGUAUCAAACAGGAUUAGAUACCCUAGUAGUC
rnacentral:rRNA from 1 species